rnacentral:rRNA from 1 species
UACGAAGGUGGCAAGCGUUACUCGGAAUUACUAGGCGUAAAGGGCAGGUAGGUGGUUUGGUAAGUCUGUUGUGAAAGCUCCCGGCUUAACUGGGAGAGGCCAACGGAUACUACCAGGCUUGAGUAUAGGAGAGGUUACUGGAAUUCCCGGUGUAGCGGUGAAAUGCGCAGAGAUCGGGAGGAACACCAAUGGCGAAAGCAGGUAACUGGACUAUUACUGACACUCAACUGCGAAAGCUAGGGGAGCAAACAGG